rnacentral:ncRNA from 2 species
AACUGAAUUGAAGCGCCAGAACCCAGAUGAGAAGUGAGAUGUGAGAAGUUGGAAGUGAGAUUGUGAAGGGAAUUUGCUGCUGCAAAUUCCUACAAGAUGCCCACCUUUCACCUCCCACCUCCCACUUCUCAGUUGCGGUUGACGAGGGGGGAGUUUAUCGAUUUUUCGGCGGGUGCUCCCCGGUGGGCCACCACCGUUAAGGACAGAACAAAACCGGCGGGUAACCGCCGGGACAAAUGUGUCCCGGGUGGCAA